CCACCCACCGCUAAGCUCUCCUCGGUUGUCCACCUGCUGUAACAUCUGUGCCCCGAGCUUGGCUCGCUUCCCUGGACUCUAGGAUAUCCCACCGGAGGACGAGGGCGGCAGGCUGUGUGUGUGGUGUGGCGUCCGGGCACAGUGCGUGCUACCCCCAGCCCAUUCACAUUGGCCAAGCCAGGGCCAACCAAAGGGUAGGGAUUUUUACAAGGUUUUCACUGUCCAGGUUUGAAUGCUUCUAUUUCUAAGCUGCAUGAGUUCAAAGAUGAAAAGCACGUAGCACUGGGCCUGGAUCAUGGCAAGGAGUCAGUCAAACGCAAAGCAUCCACUGUCCUCUGUGAAGAGAUCAUGCUCUGGACACUGUUGUUCCCUCAGCUGGGACCAGGAAUCAAGAGUGGAGAAGAUGUGGCCUGAGGAGUACCUGCCCACUUGUCUGCUCAGUUCCCAUCUCGCCUGGCUUACCUGCCUCAGUUUCUGUGACCAGACCUCCAUAUGUCCACCAGCUGACCUAUCCACUGCUCGCCUAUCCCACGAGCACGGGGCGACAUCUCUCCAGUCACCCAGACCCAGACUAUGCCGAGUAUACACAGAAGCGCAGAGAAGAGCCGGAGGCACCCAGCGCUCGCGCCCAGCAGGCGUCACGAGACCCCACUUCUCUCUCUGGGACGUUUUAAAGCGCAUCUCCGCACACCAAGUGUCUUCGCCUGUAACCAUUUCAGUCGAUGAAAGGAGAUGAAGCGCGUACAGGUUGGAAAGGAAAAACUCAAACCGCCCCUGCCCUGUGCAGACCUAGGAGCCGUUCCCAGGGCCACCUGGGGAGGUCAGAUGACCUACAAAAGGUUGAAUUCCUAUGUACCAGCAAUCGAUCACUUGAGGCUAAUAUUAAUUAAUUUUUUUUUUUUUUUACAGUAUCUCCAGGUUCAGGAAGUUCCUUCCUAAUCCCGGUUUUCUGAGAGUUUUUAUCACGAACAGAUGAUUUUAUCAAGUGUUUUCUCUGCAUCUCCUGAGUGUCCUGUGGUUUCCUUUCAUCUGUUAGUGUGGCGGGCAGGGCGGGCAGUGACGCAAUGCCAGGCCCCUCUUGCAUUGUGGGAAGGAAUGGUGCUCGGUCGUGAUGUUUUUAUUCUUUCUGUAUGUUGCCGGAUUCGAUCUGCUAACAUUUUAUUGAAGAUUUUGCAUAGAUGUUCAUGGUUCGGUAGCUUCUUAUCUUGUCCUAUCUUUGUCUCUUGUUGGAGUUAGAGAA